rnacentral:rRNA from 1 species
AGGAUGAACGCUGGCGGCGUGCCUAAUACAUGCAAGUCGAGCGGUAACACUUAGGGUGACGAGCGGCGGACGGCUGAGUAACACGUAGGAACGUACCCCAAACUGAGGGAUAAGCAUCGGAAACGGUGUCUAAUACCGCAUGUGGUCUUCGGAUUAAAGCUUCGGCGGUUUGGGAACGGCCUGCGCAUGAUUAGCUUGUUGGUGAGGUAAAAGCUCACCAAGGCGAUGAUCAUUAGCUGGUCUGAGAGGAUGACCAGCCAGACUGGGACUGAGAACGGCCCAGACUCCUACGGGAGGCAGCAGUAGGGAAUCUUCCACAAUGGACGAAAGUCUGAUGGAGCAACGGCCGCGUGCAGGACGAAGGCUUUCGGGUCGUAAACUGCUUUUAUGUGUGACGAAUCUGACGGUAACACAUGAAUAAGGAUCGGCUAACUCCGUGCCAGCAGCCGC